rnacentral:rRNA from 1 species
UUCCGGUUGAUCCUGCCGGACCUGACUGCUAUCGGAUUGAUACUAAGCCAUGUGAGUCAUUGUAGCAAUACAAGGCAGACGGCUCAGUAACACGUAGCCAAUCUAACCUAUGGACGGGGAUAACCUCGGGAAACUGAGGAUAAACCCCGAUAGAUCAUUAUGCCUGGAACGGUUUAUGGUCCAAAUGAUUCGUCGCCGUAGGAUGAGACUGCGGCCUAUCAGCUUGUUGGUGAGGUAAUGGCCCACCAAGGCUAUUACAGGUACGGGCUCUGAGAGGAGAGGCCCGGAGAUGGGUACUGAGACACGGACCCAGGCCCUAUGGGGCGCAGCAGGCGAGAAACCUUUGCAAUGUGCGCAAGCACGACAAGGUUAAUCCGAGUGAUUCCUGCUAAAGGAAUCUUUUGUUAGUCUUAAAAUCACUAUUGAAUAAGGGGUGGGCAAGUUCUGGUGUCAGCCGCCGCGGUAAAACCAGCACCCCAAGUGGUCAGGAGGAUUAUUGGGCCUAAAGCAUCCGUAGCCUGCUCUGUAAGUUUCCGGUUAAAUCCAUUAGCUCAACUAAUGGCCUGCCGGAAAUACUGCAGAGCUAGGAAGUGGGAGAGGUAGACGGUACUCGGUAGGAAGGGGUAAAAUCCUUUGAUCUAUUGAUGACCACCUGUGGCGAAGGCGGUCUACCAGAACACGUUCGACGGUGAGGGAUGAAAGCUGGGGGAGCAAACCGGAUUAGAUACCCGGGUAGUCCCAGCUGUAAACGAUGCAGACUCGGUGAUGCGCUGGCUUGUGGCCAGUGCAGUGCCGCAGGGAAGCCGUUAAGUUCGCCGCCUGGGAAGUACGUACGCAAGUAUGAAACUUAAAGGAAUUGGCGGGGGAGCACCACAAGGGGUGAAGCCUGCGGUUCAAUUGGAUUCAACGCCGGA